rnacentral:rRNA from 1 species
UGGGGAAUUUUGGACAAUGGGCGAAAGCCUGAUCCAGCAAUGCCGCGUGUGUGAAGAAGGCCUUCGGGUUGUAAAGCACUUUUGUCCGGAAAGAAAUCCUCUGGGUUAAUACCUCGGGGGGAUGACGGUACCGGAAGAAUGAGCACCGGCUAACUACGUGCCAGCAGCCGCGGUAAUACGUAGGGCGCAAGCGUUAAUCGGAAUUACUGGGCGUAAAGCGUGCGCAGGCGGUUUUGUAAGACGGAUGUGAAAUCCCCGGGCUUAACCUGGGAACUGCAUUCGUGACUGCAAGGCUAGAGUAUGGCAGAGGGGGUAGAAUUCCACGUGUAGCAGUGAAAUGCGUAGAGAUGUGGAGGAAUACCGAUGGCGAAGGCAGCCCCCUGGGCCAAUACUGACGCUCAUGCACGAAAGCGUGGGGAGCAAACAGGAUUAGAUACCCUGGUAGUCCACGCCCUAAACGAUGUCAACUAGUUGUUGGGGAUUCAUUUCCUUAGUAACGUAGCUAACGCGUGAAGUUGACCGCCUGGGGAGUACGGUCGCAAGAUUAAAACUCAAAGGAAUUGACGGGGUCAUAGCUGUUUCCU